AGCAUCACACACGGAGAGGAGGAGCCGGAGAUCAGCAUGGGACAGCCGGGCUGCACGACCACGUUCAUCCUCUAAAACACAACCAAACCCACCAAUCAGAGACCAGAGUUCGUGGGGCAGCAGGGAAAGGACCAAUCAGCAUGCAGAGAUUGAAACAAUCAGUCAGAGUGAUUUGAGUCUGUUUCUAAUAGAAUAUUUCAUGAAUAUAAAUCUCUCCCGCUGCAAAUAGGACUAAAAAAAACAGCUAUGACAUUGAACCGCGCAGGCGCAGCGCAGAUGUACUUACGUCAUCAGGUUUCCCCAAAGCGGCGGCGGCGCACGCGCUGAAUUUCUUAACGAAAUCCUCCGAGAACGAGCCCGCAAGUAAGUUCGUCCGCAGCUCAAGGAAAGGCAUGUUAACGGGAGGACAGGACACCGUAAGUAGACUACCGACCGGAGACACUCUGUACCGACAGGAGAGAGGAACGGGGGAACGGGACAACGAGAGACGACUACCGGUUCUGACUGUCAAAAUAAGAGCGGAGCGUUAGACUAAGGCUUCUGGCACACAGACUGUUCGGAUAUAAAUGUAAAACAAAUGUAAUACAAAAAAUCAAAGAGACCCUUUUUGUUGCUAUAGAAACUGAAUUUGUUGGUAUUAGUAAUUUAAUUCGUUAAGCAUUCGUAAAUGCUAGAACAGUUAUUUUUGUAAGUAGUAAAUUGUCUAUCCACUAAAAACCUGAAGUAAUAAUUUUCAAUUAAUUAUUGCAAAAUUGCAUACAAUAUGAAUCUGAUAUUUUGUGCUGUUUAAUUAAAAAUAAAAUAAAUGUGUGCAGAA